AGUGAACGCUGGCGGCGUGCCUAAUACAUGCAAGUCGAACGGAGAUUAAAUAGCUUGCUAUUUAAUCUUAGUGGCGCACGGGUGAGUAAUAUAUAGUUAAUCUGCCCCAUAGUGGAGGACAACAGUUAGAAAUGACUGCUAAUACUCCAUACUCCUUCUUAUCAUAAGUUAAGUCGGGAAAGUUUUUCGCUAUGGGAUGAGACUAUAUCGUAUCAGCUAGUUGGUGAGGUAAUGGCUCACCAAGGCUAUGACGCGUAACUGGUCUGAGAGGAUGAUCAGUCACAUUGGAACUGAGACACGGUCCAAACUCCUACGGGAGGCAGCAGUAGGGAAUAUUGCGCAAUGGGGGAAACCCUGACGCAGCAACGCCGCGUGGAGGAUGACACUUUUCGGAGCGUAAACUCCUUUUGUUAGGGAAGAAUAAUGACGGUACCUAACGAAUAAGCACCGGCUAACUCCGUGCCAGCAGCCGCGGUAAUACGGAGGGUGCAAGCGUUACUCGGAAUCACUGGGCGUAAAGGACGCGUAGGCGGAUUAUCAAGUCUCUUGUGAAAUCUAGUGGCUUAACCACUAAACUGCUUGGGAAACUGAUAAUCUAGAGUAAGGGAGAGGCAGAUGGAAUUCUUGGUGUAGGGGUAAAAUCCGUAGAGAUCAAGAAGAAUACUUAUUGCGAAGGCGAUCUGCUAGAACUUAACUGACGCUAAUGCGUGAAAGCGUGGGGAGCACACAGG
rnacentral:rRNA from 1 species